UACGUAGGGUGCAAGCGUUACUCGGAAUUAUUGGGCGUAAAGCGCGCGCAGGCGGUCCUUUAAGUCUGAUGUGAAAGCCCACGGCUCAACCGUGGAGGGUCAUUGGAAACUGGGGGACUUGAGUGCAGGAGAGAAGAGUGGAAUUCCACGUGUAGCGGUGAAAUGCGUAGAGAUGUGGAGGAACACCAGUGGCGAAGGCGGCUCACUGGCUCGAUACUGACGCUGAGGUGCGAAAGCGUGGGGAGCAAACAGG
rnacentral:rRNA from 1 species